CUGGAGGUAGUUUAAUGUUAGAAUGCCGGUCUUGGAAGCUGGUGAUUGGGAGGACGGUCCCACCUCUUGA
rnacentral:tRNA from 1 species